rnacentral:rRNA from 1 species
UACGAAGGGGGCUAGCGUUGUUCGGAUUUACUGGGCGUAAAGCGCACGUAGGCGGAUCGUUAAGUCGGGGGUGAAAUCCUGGAGCUCAACUCCAGAACUGCCUUCGAUACUGGCGAUCUCGAGUCCGGAAGAGGUGAGUGGAACUGCGAGUGUAGAGGUGAAAUUCGUAGAUAUUCGCAAGAACACCAGUGGCGAAGGCGGCUCACUGGCCCGAUACUGACGCUGAGGUGCGAAAGCGUGGGGAGCAAACAGG